AGAGUGUUAUGGAUCUUAACCCCAUUGAGCUUUUGUGGGAUCAGCUAGACUGUAAGGUGCGUGAGAAGUGCCCGACAAGACAGCCACAUCUAUGGCAAGUGCUACAGGAAGUGUGGGGUGAAAUGUCACCUGAGUAUCUGGACAAACUGACAGCUAGAAUAACAAGGAUCUGCAAAGCUGUCAUUGCUGCACAUGGAGGAUUUUUUGAUGAGAACUCUUUGAAGAUGUUUAAGAAGUUCUG